rfam:Planctomycetes bacterium RIFCSPHIGHO2_12_39_6 rifcsphigho2_12_sub10_scaffold_5110, whole genome shotgun sequence.
UUGUCGGUUAGAGUCCGACCGUGGGAAUUCGGCAGUUCACCCAUGUAGCUUGAGGGAGGAGUCAGGGGUAAUCCGAAGCUCUAAGUUCCCUGACAAAGGUUCAUUUAGUGAGCCGGGCAAACCUGCGGGUUGCAGCGAAA